UUUUUUGUGUGCCUUAGUUUUUGCAGAUGACAUGCAUCAUGAUCUCCACCACUCAAAUUGGUAGUCACUGGGCCUGGUUUCAAAGAAUAAUGCAGAAAGGAUAUUCAAUUAGAAUCUGCAGACGUUUCGUGAUUAUUUCUGGUAUUACAUUUUUCAUCGUUCAUACGCUGAUGGCCAUUUAUGAAAGAUACCGAGAGUCAGAGGAAAUCACUGAGACCCAACUUGAAGAAUUAUCAAGGUGUUUCACUAACAGGGACGAAAUUAAUACCUUAGUGAUGGAGAAACCAAAAGACACCACCUCAGCAUGAUCUUAUAUUAAACUUGGACAUCUUUGUGCCUUUGGGCCUUUUUAAAGUCUCUUGAGCACUUUUAAGUAGAAAUAAAUUCUGGCUUUUAAAACUU